GCCUCUGUGGCUUAGCCUGGUAUAGCACUUGCUUGGUAAGCAAGAGGUCCCGCGUUCAAAUCGCGGCAGAGGCU
rnacentral:tRNA from 1 species